AUUGAACGCUGGCGGCAGGCCUAACACAUGCAAGUCGAACGCGUGGCGGACGGGUGAGUAAUGUCUGGGAAACUGCCCGAUGGGGGGGGAUAACUAAUGGGAACGGUAGCUAAUACCGCGUACCCUCGGAUGUGCCCAGAUGGGAUUAGCUAGUAGGGGGGGUAACGGCUCACCUAGGCGACGAUCCCUAGCUGGUCUGAGAGGAUGACCAGCCACACGGGAACUGAGACACGGUCCAGACUCCUACGGGAGGCAGCAGUGGGGAAUAUUGCACAAUGGGCGCAAGCCUGAUGCAGCCAUGCCGCGUGUAUGAAGAAGGCCUUCGGGUUGUAAAGUACUUUCAGCGAGGAGGCGUUACUCGCAGAAGAAGCACCGGCUAACUCCGUGCCAGCAGCCGCGGUAAUAC
rnacentral:rRNA from 1 species